rnacentral:tRNA from 2 species
GGAGCGGUAGUUCAGUUGGUUAGAAUACCUGCCUGUCACGCAGGGGGUCACGGGUUCGAGUCCCGUCCGUUCCGCCA